rnacentral:rRNA from 1 species
GAUGAACGCUGGCGGCGUGCUUAACACAUGCAAGUCGAACGGAAAGGCUCCUGCUUGCAGGGGUACUCGAGUGGCGAACGGGUGAGUAACACGUGGGUGAUCUGCCCUGCACUUCGGGAUAAGCCUGGGAAACUGGGUCUAAUACCGGAUAGGACCACAUUUUGGAUGGUGUGGUGGAAAGUUUUUCGGUGUGGGAUGAGCUCGCGGCCUAUCAGCUUGUUGGUGGGGUAAUGGCCUACCAAGGCGUCGACGGGUAGCCGGCCUGAGAGGGUGUACGGCCCAAAUGGGAAUGGGGUACCGGCCAGAAUCCUUCCGGGGGGAAGAGGGGGGAAAAUUGGCACAAGGGGGGAAGGCUGAUUGCAGGGAGCCGGGGGGGGGGUGACGGCCUUCGGGUUGUAAACUCCUUUCGCUAGGGACGAAGCGCAAGUGACGGUACCUGGAGAAGAAGCACCGGCUAACUACGUG